CUACGGGUUGCAGCAGUGGGGAAUAUUGGGCAAUGGGCGCAAGCCUGACCCAGCAACGCCGCGUGAGGGAAGAAGGUUUUCGGAUUGUAAACCUCUGUCCUUGGGGACGAAGAAGUGACGGUACCCAAGGAGGAAGCUCCGGCUAACUACGUGCCAGCAGCCGGCGGUAAUACGUAGGGAGCAAGCGUUGUCCGGAAUUACUGGGCGUAAAGGGUGCGUAGGCGGCAUAUUAAGUCAGGUGUGAAAUACUCGGGCUCAACCCGGGGGCUGCAUUUGAAACUGAUAUGCUUGAGUGUGAGAGAGGAAAGUGGAAUUCCUAGUGUAGCGGUGGAAUGCGUAGAUAUUAGGAGGAACACCAGUGGCGAAGGCGACUUUCUGGCUCAUAACUGACGCUGAGGCACGAAAGCGUGGGGAGCAAACAGGAUUAGAUACCCCGGUAGUC
rnacentral:rRNA from 1 species